GACGAACGCUGGCGGCGUGCUUAACACAUGCAAGUCGAACGAUGAAGCCGGAGCUUGCUCUGGUGAAUUAGUGGCGAACGGGUGAGUAACACGUGAGUAACCUGCCCUUGGCUCUGGGAUAACUGCGGGAAACUGUAGCUAAUACCGGAUACGACCCUCGGAGGCAUCUCCUGGGGGUGGAAAGAAUUUCGGUCAAGGAUGGACUCGCGGCCUAUCAGCUAGUUGGUAAGGUAAAGGCUCACCAAGGCGACGACGGGUAGCCGGCCUGAGAGGGUGACCGGCCACACUGGGACUGAGACACGGCCCAGACUCCUACGGGAGGCAGCAGUGGGGAAUAUUGCACAAUGGGCGCAAGCCUGAUGCAGCAACGCCGCGUGAGGGAUGACGGCCUUCGGGUUGUAAACCUCUUUUAGCAGGGAAGAAGCGAAAGUGACGGUACCUGCAGAAAAAGCACCGGCUAACUACGUGCCAGCCGCCGCGGUAC
rnacentral:rRNA from 1 species